CAGCCGCCGCGGUAAUACCGGCGGCCCGAGUGGUGGCCGCUAUUAUUGGGCUUAAAGCGUCCGUAGCCGGGUUGGGAAGUCCUCCGGGAAAUCUGGCCGCUUAACGGUCAGAAUGCCGGAGGAUACUCCCAGCCUAGGGAGCGGGAGAGGCCGAGGGUAUUCCCGGAGUAGGGGUGAAAUCCUAUAAUCCCGGGAGGACCACCUGUGGCGAAGGCGCUCGGCUGGAACGCGUCCGACGGUGAGGGACGAAGGCCAGGGGAGCAAACCGGAUUAGAUACCCGGGUAGUCCUGGCUGUAAACGAUGCGGACUUUGUGUCGGACAAGCUAUGAGCUUGUCCGGUGCCGGAGGGAAACCGUUAAGUCCGCCGCCUGGGGAGUACGGCCGCAAGGCUGAAACUUAAAGGAAUUGGCGGG
rnacentral:rRNA from 1 species